rnacentral:rRNA from 1 species
AUUGAACGCUGGCGGCAUGCCUUACACAUGCAAGUCGAACGGCAGCGCGGACUUCGGUCUGGCGGCGAGUGGCGAACGGGUGAGUAAUACAUCGGAACGUACCCUGUUGUGGGGGAUAACUAGUCGAAAGAUUAGCUAAUACCGCAUACGACCUGAGGGUGAAAGUGGGGGACCGCAAGGCCUCACGCAGCAGGAGCGGCCGAUGUUGGAUUAGCUAGUUGGUGGGGUAAAGGCCCACCAAGGCGACGAUCAGUAGCUGGUCUGAGAGGACGAUCAGCCACGCUGGGACUGAGACACGGCCCAGACUCCUACGGGAGGCAGCAGUGGGGAAUUUUGGACAAUGGGGGCAACCCUGAUCCAGCAAUGCCGCGUGUGUGAAGAAGGCCUUCGGGUUGUAAAGCACUUUUGUCCGGAAAGAAAUCGCGCUGGUUAAUACCUGGCGUGGAUGACGGUACCGGAAGAAUGAGCACCGGCUAACUACGUGCCAGCCGCCGCCGUAA